rnacentral:rRNA from 1 species
UACGUAGGGGGCAAGCGUUGUCCGGAUUUACUGGGCGUAAAGCGCGUGUAGGCGGAAGCGAAAGUCCGGUGUGAAAGCCCCCCGCUCAACGGGGGAAGGUCGCUGGAAACUGCGCUUCUUGAGGGCGGCAGAGGGAAGUGGAAUUGCUGGUGUAGCGGUGAAAUGCGUAGAGAUCAGCAGGAACACCCGUGGCGAAGGCGGCUUCCUGGGCCGCGCCUGACGCUGAGACGCGAAAGCGUGGGGAGCAAACGGG